UCACGAUCAAAGCAAAAUGAGAUAGGCUUAAAUAAUGAUCCUUGAUGUAAGCAAUUUAUUAUUAUUAUUAGAAAUUCUCUCCUUUCUCUUCUCUCCAUUAUUUGAUUUCUUACUACUUAUCCUUCAUCGUCGUCAAUAUUUUGAAGUGAUAGAUGUUGCUUUUAAAAUUCUAUUUAGUGUUUUUCUUAGCCAAUACAUGUAAUAUGGUGUGAUUUUGUCUUCUCUAAAUUUUCAUCUAUAGAGUUAGCUUCCUUGGUUUGUCUUUCUAGUAUAACCAACUAUGCCAUUGUUUCAUGUCUAUAGUCUUUGCUUUAUGAUUUUAUCAGUUUCACUCCUAUGCUACAGUUUUAUAGAGUGACUAAUGACUAAUGAGUUCGUACUACUAUAAUUGGUGUAGGCCUGAAUAUAGGACCAGUCAUCUCAUUUAGUUUAUACCUUACUUCUCCAAAUUUUUCAUUGUUUGCAAUUCAUUUUAGACAAGUUAGCCAGCAAUAAGAUUCCAAGUUUCCAUGAGAUUGGUUCUAGCAUCCUCUCUCUCUCUCUCUCUCUACACCCACACACGUGCAAAUAUAUGUUCUAAGCAUCUUUUAACGUCAGUAGUUCUCUUCUUUUUCAAUUUUCUUUUUAAAUAAAAUCAUAGAUAAUUUCUUCCCCCGGUAGAUUUAGUAGGCAUUUUGUGCAUUUUAUCAAAUCAAAAAUCUUCUGGUGUUAGUUCAGGACUAUUUAUAUGAAUUCCACACUCAUGCACAUAGAGGUUGCAUGGUAAUUAGGUUUCUUUAUGCUAUGUUUGGUUGGAAGGAAGGAUUGAGAAAGGGUGGAAGAGAGAAGGGAUAGAAGACGCUUCCCUUGUUUUGUUGGAAGGAAGGAAAGAGAGGGAGGAAGCAAGUAGGUAUGAUGCAUCCUCCAAGCCCAUAUAUUUUUAUCCGUCCGAAAUUGGGCGGAAGAGAGGAGGGAAAGAAAGAAAACCACCUUACAAAUAUGUAAUACCAAUUUUAACCUUCAAUUAUUCACAAAAUCACCUGUUAAACCCUACUGAAAAUUAGAAUGAAUAUUAUAAGUUUACAUAUUGAGGUGAUAUUGGUAAAAAAAAAAAAAUGAAAACUCUCCUUUCCUUCCUUCUAACCAAAAAAGAAAAGAAAAAAAGUGAAAGAAGAAGGUGUCACCCCAUCAAUCCUUUCUACUAUCCCUUCCAUUCAACCAAAUAAAAAGUGAGAGAGAGACCUUCCCUUCCCUAGGGAUGCCUCAUCCAUCCCUCCCUCUGUUCCUUCCAUCCAUUUUCCCAUCCCUCCAACCAAAUGGAGCAUAAGUUGAUGAGAUAAAUAUAUUGUUAUGUGGUUAACUAAUUCAAUGAGUUUUAGCUUAAUUAAAAAAUUAUAUGCAGUGAGUACUCUUUUGGAAGAGCGUUUGGUCUUUAGGAUUUUGUAACUGAUCAAGUGAUCAAAGGGCUUAAAGGAUGGAAUGGGCUAGACUUAAUACUUUGAUAGAAAAGAAUUAGUUUCCUAAUCUUUUGGAUAAACAUAGGAGUUGGAUAAAAAAAAAAGAAGCUAUGAUGUCAGGCUAAAGAAAGAUAUCUGAGGAAUGCUAGAAGAGGACUAGGCAAGAAAGAGAACUAAGGAAGAUAAUAGGAUCAUAUAAUUAGAGAGUUUAUAUAUUCAUUAACUUCUAAAUAGUGCAAUAAACAUCCUUUUGUUUUUCUAUUGAUUAUUUAGGACAAGAAGAAAACAUAUUGUCAUUAUCAUCGUACUUGCCUUAUCUCAUAUGAAUUAGUUUGCCACAUGAAUUCCUUUUCCCCAUUCUUUCCUACUACAAUCCUUGUUCUAAUAUUAUAUUUAAUCUUGUAAACCAUUUCUAAUUAUUUCAUACCAUGUUAAUUUCGUUUCUUAUAUUCUAAGCAAACUAAUUUUCCUUCUCUCAUUGAUUGGUUUUAUAGUUCUGUGUUGUAUGUGCCGCUGUGUCCAUACUAUCUAAGCCUGUUUUUCUUAUUUUAUCACCAGCAGGCAUCACUUUAAAUCUCCCUCAUGAGUUGAUUAUCAACUCUAUCUCUUCUAGUCAUUCUUCUGGCCAACCAUAAAUGCAUGGCACUAGUACUCUUCUUGGCAAGGGAAUCAGAUGAAUGAAUGUUCGCGCUUGUUGUAUAUCUGGGAACAUAAACUAGUUGGACCAUAUAAUUUUGUGCUGAUAUCUGAUUUAUGUGUCGACAGACUCUCAUCGAUAGUUUCAGAUAUUCAAGAUUCUGUGAAGAAUGUGCUACAUACAGAUUUUACUUUUACAAUAUGUUGUAUGAGGUAACUGCUCUGUAGAUGAUGAGAAGAAUGCAUUAUGUUGCAUGAAGUAACUGCUCUUGAACUUGACCGGCGGUCUUUCCACGGACGGUUUGAGGUUUUACUUACAGAAAGAACAAAAUGAAUGCUUAGUGUUUGAUGAUAGUGAUACCAUUCAUUAGAUUUUCUGUAAUAACCCGUUUGGUUGGAUGGAUGGAAGAGAUAUACUUAUGGAAGGGAUGUUAUUAUUAUUUUUUCUUUUGCUUGGUUGAGUAGAGGGAAGAAAAAUUGUGACACUUACUAUUUUGUAGACAGGGUUGCAUCAUUUUUCAUUCUUUCUA